UUGGACGUGGAGAGAAAAAAAGAAGAGAGAAUGCAAUUAUUCCUAAAUAUUUUUAAAAGUAUUCUAUUUUCAUAAAUAUUUUUAAAAACUACAGUAUAAUUUCAAUUUUACAAAACUAAACACAAUAGAAACGCCAAUAAAUAAAUAUUUAUUUUAGAAGUAGAUUUGGUAGUAUAUAAGGCCUUUUGAAAUCGAAGUUAUUCCCGCCAAUGUUCCAGUACGACGGCGAUCGGUCGCAAUCGGAAGAUGGAGAACGGCAGUCCAGUGCAGUGUCCAAACACGGUGACGGUUCGGAGAAACCCUCACCGGAGAGCAAGAGCUACGCCGGCCGCCAAAGCAGCCGAAUCCAAUCCUCCAUCUGCCAUUUCUUCAUUUCCAUUUCAAGAAAUACUUGCAAUGGAAGUCCCUCAAAACCCUAAAGACAAUUCAUCAUCAUCAUCCGUUCCAGCUUCUCUCUCCGAAAACCUGAAAGUGUACCUUAGAGUUCGACCUUUGCAACUGAAGAAUUUGAAGAAGUCCGGAAAUCCUGGUGAUCAAAAUUCAAGGUCCGGACAUGUAUGGCCUCAGAACCCUCAGAAGAAGAAAGUAGCGAAGGAGAAGAAUGUUAAGAAGAAGAGCAGUGAGGCUUGUAUAACGAUUAAUGAUGAUCACUCGGUAACAGUCUGUCCUCCUAUGUCAUUGCAAGAGACUAGGCGGAGUAAGUCUGAGGUUUACGAAGGAUUUUCCCAUGUGUUUUCUACGGAAUCCUCUCAGGGUGAGGUGUAUGAGAGGAUGGUUAAUCCGUUAGUGGAGGAUUUUCUGAAGGGAAAAAGUGGAAUGCUGACUGCACUCGGUCCAAGCGGCUCGGGUAAGACGCAUACCAUUUUUGGUAGUCCAAGAGUUCCUGGUAUGGUUCCACUGGCUCUUCAACAUAUUUUCCAGACAGAGACGAGUGAUUCCGAGUCCUUUAGAUCAUAUUAUCUAUCAAUCUUUGAAAUAUACUCAGAAAAAGGAAAAGGAGAAAAGAUGUUAGAUCUUUCGGCUGAUGGGGGCGAGUUAACUAUGCAGCAGUUUAAUGUAAAAGGCCUUAAGGAGGUUUUAAUUUCUAAUGCCGGAGAAGCUGAAUCAUUAGUGGCUUGUGCAAUGGCUAAGCGAGCCACUGCAACUACAAAUGCAAAUAGCACAUCAAGUCGGUCUCAGUGCAUCAUUAAUGUGCGCAGAGUUGCUAACCAAGAUGAAGUUGAAGACGCAUCGAACUGUGCCAUCUUGACCAUUGCUGAUCUCGCUGGAGCUGAAAAGGAAAAAAGAACUGGGAAUCAGGGUACAAGGUUACUUGAAGCUAACUUCAUCAAUAAUACAUCAAUGGUUUUUGGCUUGUGCCUAAGAUCUUUGUUUGAACACCAAAGGAAUCCAAAGAAGCCACUGCAGAAGCAUUUCCAGAACUCUUUGUUGACCAAGUACCUUCGAGAUUACCUGGAAGGAAAGAAGCGAAUGACCUUGAUUUUAACUGUGAAAGCAGGAGAAGAAGAUUAUCUUGAUACAACUUUCCUUCUCAGACAAGCUUCACCUUAUAUGAAGAUCAAGUUCAACAAUGUUGUGGAACCAUCCAACACCAACAAGAGACAAUUGCAAACGUUAUGUAUAUUUGAGGAGCAGAAAAGAACAAAAUAUUGUGUUCCUGAAGCUUGUGUGAAUGAAGGAAAGGGACAUCACGAGGAAGGUCUGCUUUCUCAUGAAGAACCUUCAGCUCAUACUGAAUGUCCAGCCACAAAGUCUAGCUGUACAGAAUUGGAUGGGAUUGAAAGAAACCAUUUGAUUAUGCAAAAUUUUGCUAAAGCCAUAUGGAAAGUCUUGAAGCAGUAUAGAGAUAAACUAAAGAAUGCAGAAAAUGAAAAUCAAACUCUUCGAGAAGAAAUUAGGAAGGAAAAGGUGAGAUAUUUUGAGCUGGAAAAGCAAUGGCAAAAUUCAAGAUGCAGUACUUGCUCCAAGGAAGAUUGUGCCGAAGCUGAUUCAUCCGUCAAAGUAGUUUCAAGUUUUGAGUUGAAAAGUGAUUUGGAUGAGCACAAAUUCAAUGAGGUUCUUGAGAUAAAUAUGAACUCUUUCGUCAAAGUGAAGGAAUCUGAGGGAAAUAAAUCUCCAGAAAGAUGUGGUUCCUCUCCCUGUGAAGACAUAAAUAGUCGCUCAAAACUUGAUGAAGUUAAAGAGGUAUGCAUAAACAAUAUAGACGAGACCACUCCUAGGAAUGAGUGCAACAUGACGAAAAUACUUACAUACGUGGAAGCAGAUGAUCGUUGUCUGACAACAAAUCUUAUAGCCUUUGACACCCUGCAGGCCCAUAGCUUGGUGAAGCAUGACAGCUGUUCAUCUGUAGAGUUGGACAAACUCAGUGAGCAAGAUGAGGAAUCUACCUCAGUUGAAUCACCUUUACAAGUAGCCUCGUUUAUUCACUGCAAUGCUCAUGCAUGCGAAACUCAACCUGUACUUGAUACUUCAUUAAACCAACCAACUUCAGAGGAGUCUGAUAGGGAUUCGGGUACUUUGAAUGAAGCCCAGGAACUCGUGGCGGAACUUUCGGAUUCUCGAGAUGUACAUCCCACCAAGGAUGUUGAACCUUGUCAAGAACGAGAACGCAACAUUGAUGUGCAUUGCAGUGAUCCUACUGACAUCUCAUGCAAACUAGAGAAACCAAAAAGGAGACUUUUGCCCGCAUCAUCCACAUUAUUGAGGGAUUUCAGCAAUAUGCAUGUCGAGGAUGAUAUUGAGGCGUCAAAGCAGGUAAACAGAAAUGGGAAAAAAUCAGCCAAAGGUGAAAAAAUUAGAACACAGGGUAACAUCUCCCUCAUCCGCAUGCUGCAGAGUAAUCUCCGGUUCUACUCCUAGACGAUCCCUUCAAGCAUUGCUAGAGCUUUGGCAACUGCAACCCUUCGAUGAUGGUCAACUGUAGUAAACCCUGGACCACUUUGCUUCAGCAACGUUCCUUAUCUCGCAUCACGUCGUCUCCUCCAGUUAGGUUUCAACUUUACAUCCACACUUAAAUUUGCUCAUCUUAGGCACCUAUGAAGAAUCAUCCAUACCUAUGGUUAGGGUGAGUUUCUAUCAAGACACUUCAGCUAACCACGUUAGGAAGGAAUGACUGGUUGGGUGUUGGCUCAAAAAAUUAAUGCCUACAGCCUACCCAAUGCUCACUUUCUCCCACUCUACUGCCCUAUAUUAGUCUAGAAAGCUACUUGCAGAAAGGUAUGGCUCUCCAA